UACGUAAAAGACUAGUGUUAUUCAUCUUUAUUAGGUUUAAAGGGUACCUAGACGGUAAAUUAAACCUUAAUUGGUAAUUUUUUACUAGAGUUUUAUGAGAGAAAGGGAGAACUUUUUAGAGUAGAGAUAAAAUUUUUAUGAUACUAAAGGGAUUGAUAAAGGCGAAGGCAGCUUUCUAUGUAAAAACUGACGUUGAGGGACGAAGGCUUGGGUAGCAAUAAGGG
rnacentral:rRNA from 1 species